rnacentral:rRNA from 1 species
UGGUCUUGACAUCCUGGGAAUCCCGUAGAGAUAUGGGAGUGCCGCAAGGAACCCAGAGAC